ensembl:snRNA
GUGUUGUAUGAAAGGAGAGAAGGUUAGCACUUCCCUUGGCAAGGAUGGAAGAGGCCCUCAGGCCUGACAACAUGUAUACGGUUAAGUCAUUGCCACCUACUUCAUGGCGUCUAGCCAUCGUUAUUU